rnacentral:lncRNA from 1 species
UUUUUUUUAAAAUCGUUUUUUUAUAAAAUUUUAUCAACGAUAUGUACACACUAAACUUUUACCAUAUCACUCCAUUAUCUAAUACGACAUAUUGCCACAAGAAAGAAUAAUUUUUUUUUUUUUCUAAAAAUGUUUUAAUCUGCCUAAUAAGUAAAAAAUAAAAAAUAUAGUUGAUAUAAAAAUGAAAAUAUUCACAUGGGAGAACGGCAUAAAAGCAUCCUUUGGGGUACUAGGUAUAAUUUACUUUCUAUAUUUGAAAAGGUUUGUAAAACAAGAAUGGGAAAUUUAUCAGGUGAAAAUUAGAGAGAAAGAUAUUAAUACGAAUAAAGUACAAAUUGGUGAAGAUCAUGAAAAUGUCAAACGCAUUUUAGAAGAAGAGAGGAGGAACAUACUAUUGUAAUACUUCCUCACACCUACACCAACAUAUAUUAAAAACUACACACACACACACACACGGAUAUGUAUGUAUAUGUUCCUGUUUGUACACUGUAUACGCCUAAGUAGGUGUAGUUCAUUUGUCCCUAUUAGCCAUUUAUAUUUUAUAAAACGAUACCUUUUCCUUAUUUUUGCUUAUUUUUCCUUAUUUUUUUUUAGUUCAUUAAAUUAUUAUAUUUGUAUUAAAAAUAGUUAUAACUUAUAUAUUUCCAAAAAAUAUUUCUAUCAUUUUUAGAUUCGAAAAAAAAUAUUUAAAUUCAGAAAACAUCUAACAUGUUUAGAAAAUUGUCUUAAUUUGUUUUUAUGUAUAUAUGUAUGUACAUGCUUCAUUAUUUCAGUUUUAUGGUAUAACUGAAAAAAGGUUAAAAAUGAAUGUAACAAAAAAAAAUUAAAUAAAUAAAUAAAUAAAUAAUAAAAAAUAAAAAAU